CGGGAUGAGCUCAAAUUUAAAAUCUGGCGGCCUCAGGUCGUCCGAGUUGUAGUCUAGAGAAUCGUUUUCCGCGUUGGCCUGUGUACAAGUCCCUUGGAACAGGGCGUCAUAGAGGGUGAGAAUCCCGUCCUUGACACAGAUUACCAAUGCUUUGUGAUGCGAUCUCGAAGAGUCGAGUUGUUUGGGAAUGCAGCUCAAAAUGGGUGGUAAAUUCCAUCUAAAGCUAAAUAUUGGCGAGAGACCGAUAGCGAACAAGUACCGUGAGGGAAAGAUGAAAAGCACUUUGGAAAGAGAGUUAAACAGUACGUGAAAUUGUUAAAAGGGAAACGAUUGAAGUCAGUCAUGCUUUCCGAGACUCAGCCGAUUCUGUCGGUGUACUUCUCGGUUGGCAGGCCAGCAUCAGUUUCGAUCUGUGGAAAAGGUUGGAGGGAACGUGGCAUCCUCGGAUGUGUUAUAGCCCUUCUUCGAAUACAUAGAGCGGGACUGAGGAACGCAGCGCGCCUUUUAUUAG
rnacentral:rRNA from 1 species